GAGAGUGCGGCUGCUGAGAGCCGAGCCCAGCAAUCCCGAUCCUCUGAGUCGUGAAGAAGGGAGGCAGCGAGGGGGUUGGGGUUGGGGCCUGAGGCAAGGCUCCGCUCUUGCCAGAGGGACAGGAGCCAUGGCUCAGAAAAUGGACUGUGGUGCGGGCCUCCUCGGCUUCCAGGCUGAGGCCUCCGUAGAAGACAGCGCCUUGCUUAUGCAGACCUUGAUGGAGGCCAUCCAGAUCUCAGAGGCUCCACCUACUAACCAGGCCACCACAGCUGCUAGUCCCCAGAGUUCACAGCCCCCAACUGCCAAUGAGAUGGCUGACAUUCAGGUUUCAGCAGCUGCCGCUAGGCCUAAGUCAGCCUUUAAAGUCCAGAAUGCCACCACAAAAGGCCCAAAUGGUGUCUAUGAUUUCUCUCAGGCUCAUAAUGCCAAGGAUGUGCCCAACACGCAGCCCAAGGCAGCCUUUAAGUCCCAAAAUGCUACCCCAAAGGGUCCAAAUGCUGCCUAUGAUUUUUCCCAGGCAGCAACCACUGGUGAGUUAGCUGCUAACAAGUCUGAGAUGGCCUUCAAGGCCCAGAAUGCCACUACUAAAGUGGGCCCAAAUGCCACCUACAAUUUCUCUCAGUCUCUCAAUGCCAAUGACCUGGCCAACAGCAGGCCUAAGACCCCUUUCAAGGCUUGGAAUGAUACCACUAAGGCCCCAACAGCUGAUACCCAGACCCAGAAUGUAAAUCAGGCCAAAAUGUCCACUUCCCAGGCUGACAUAGAGACCGACCCAGGUAUCUCUGAACCUGACGGUGCAACUGCACAGACAUCAGCAGAUGGUUCCCAGGCUCAGAAUCUGGAGUCCCGGACAAUAAUUCGGGGCAAGAGGACCCGCAAGAUUAAUAACUUGAAUGUUGAAGAGAACAGCAGUGGGGAUCAGAGGCGGGCCCCACUGGCUGCAGGGACCUGGAGGUCUGCACCAGUUCCAGUGACCACUCAGAACCCACCUGGCGCACCCCCCAAUGUGCUCUGGCAGACGCCAUUGGCUUGGCAGAACCCCUCAGGCUGGCAAAACCAGACAGCCAGGCAGACCCCACCAGCACGUCAGAGCCCUCCAGCUAGGCAGACCCCACCAGCCUGGCAGAACCCAGUCGCUUGGCAGAACCCAGUGAUUUGGCCAAACCCAGUAAUCUGGCAGAACCCAGUGAUCUGGCCAAACCCCAUUGUCUGGCCCGGCCCUGUUGUCUGGCCGAAUCCACUGGCCUGGCAGAAUCCACCUGGAUGGCAGACCCCACCUGGAUGGCAGACCCCACCGGGCUGGCAGGGUCCUCCAGACUGGCAAGGUCCUCCUGACUGGCCGCUACCACCCGACUGGCCACUGCCACCUGAUUGGCCACUUCCCACUGACUGGCCACUACCACCUGACUGGAUCCCCGCUGAUUGGCCAAUUCCACCUGACUGGCAGAACCUGCGCCCCUCGCCUAACCUGCGCCCUUCUCCCAACUCGCGUGCCUCACAGAACCCGGGUGCUGCACAGCCCCGAGAUGUGGCCCUUCUUCAGGAAAGAGCAAAUAAGUUGGUCAAGUACUUGAUGCUUAAGGACUACACAAAGGUGCCCAUCAAGCGCUCAGAAAUGCUGAGAGAUAUCAUCCGUGAAUACACUGAUGUUUAUCCAGAAAUCAUUGAACGUGCAUGCUUUGUCCUAGAGAAGAAAUUUGGGAUUCAGCUGAAAGAAAUUGACAAAGAAGAACACCUGUAUAUUCUCAUCAGUACCCCCGAGUCCCUGGCUGGCAUACUGGGAACGUAAGAUGGGAAAGAAGGUGGAACAUGGCCUUUCUCAGUGGUGCUUUUUUUCUAGGAGUUUCACGUAGAUCAGGGUCCAGGGUUCAGGGUCACAUAGCAGGUCAUGGGCAGAGCUGGGGUAUAAUUCUCCCCUAGCUGAGGAAUAUUGGGGAGGCUAGAUGGGCAAGCUGGUUGGGGUCUCUCGUGCAAAUGGCUGCUGAAAAUAUAUUCUUUCUAUAUUCCCUUAGGACCAAAGACACACCCAAGCUCGGUCUCCUCUUGGUGAUUCUGGGUGUCAUCUUCAUGAAUGGCAACCGUGCCAGUGAGGCUGUCCUCUGGGAGGCACUACGCAAGAUGGGACUGCGUCCUGGGGUGAGACAUCCCCUCCUUGGAGAUCUAAGGAAACUUCUCACCUAUGAGUUUGUAAAGCAGAAAUACCUGGACUACAGACGAGUGCCCAACAGCAACCCCCCGGAGUAUGAGUUCCUCUGGGGCCUCCGUUCCUACCAUGAGACUAGCAAGAUGAAAGUGCUGAGAUUCAUUGCAGAGGUUCAGAAAAGAGACCCUCGUGACUGGACUGCACAGUUCAUGGAGGCUGCAGAUGAGGCCUUGGAUGCUCUGGAUGCUGCUGCAGCUGAGGCCGAAGCCCGGGCUGAAGCAAGAACCCGCAUGGGAAUUGGAGAUGAGGCUGUGUCUGGGCCCUGGAGCUGGGAUGACAUUGAGUUUGAGCUGCUGACCUGGGAUGAGGAAGGAGAUUUUGGAGAUCCCUGGUCCAGAAUUCCAUUUACCUUCUGGGCCAGAUACCACCAGAAUGCCCGCUCCAGAUUCCCUCAGACCUUUGCCGGUCCCAUUAUUGGUCCUGGUGGUACAGCCAGUGCCAACUUCGCUGCCAACUUUGGUGCCAUUGGUUUCUUCUGGGUUGAGUGAGAUGUUGGAUAUUGCUAUCAAUCGCAGUAGUCUUUCCCCUGUGUGAGGCUGAAGCCUCAGAUUCCUUCUAAACACAGCUAUCUAGAGAGCCACAUCCUGUUGACUGAAAGUGGCAUGCAAGAUAAAUUUAUUUGCUGUUCCUUGUCUACUGCUUUUUUUCCCCUUGUGUGCUGUCAAGUUUUGGUAUCAGAAAUAAACAUUGAAAUUGCAAAGUG
rnacentral:sRNA from 1 species